rnacentral:rRNA from 1 species
GACGAACGCUGGCGGCGUGCUUAACACAUGCAAGUCGAGCGGUAAGGCUCCUUCGGGAGUCCACGAGCGGCGAACGGGUGAGUAACACGUGAGUAAUCUGCCCUUCACUUCGGGAUAACCACCGGAAACGGUGGCUAAUACCGAAUACGACCAGUCUUCGCAUGAGGUGCUGGUGGAAAGUCUUUUCGGUGAAGGAUGUGCUCGCGGCCUAUCAGCUUGUUGGUGGGGUAAUGGCCUACCAAGGCUUCGACGGGUAGCCGGCCUGAGAGGGUGACCGGCCACACUGGGACUGAGACACGGCCCAGACUCCUACGGGAGGCAGCAGUGGGGAAUAUUGGACAAUGGGCGAAAGCCUGAUCCAGCAACGCCGCGUGAGGGAUGACGGCCUUCGGGUUGUAAACCUCUUUCAGUACCGACGAAGCGCCCUGUCGGGUGGUGACGGUAGGUACAGAAGAAGGACCGGCCAACUACGUG